rnacentral:rRNA from 1 species
GUGGGGAAUUUUGGACAAUGGGCGCAAGCCUGAUCCAGCAAUGCCGCGUGCAGGAUGAAGGCCUUCGGGUUGUAAACUGCUUUUGUACGGAACGAAAAGCCCUGGGUUAAUACCCUGGGGUCAUGACGGUACCGUAAGAAUAAGCACCGGCUAACUACGUGCCAGCAGCCGCGGUAAUACGUAGGGUGCGAGCGUUAAUCGGAAUUACUGGGCGUAAAGCGUGCGCAGGCGGUUUUGUAAGACAGAGGUGAAAUCCCCGGGCUCAACCUGGGGACUGCCUUUGUGACUGCAAGGCUAGAGUACGGCAGAGGGGGAUGGAAUUCCGCGUGUAGCAGUGAAAUGCGUAGAUAUGCGGAGGAACACCGAUGGCGAAGGCAAUCCCCUGGGCCUGUACUGACGCUCAUGCACGAAAGCGUGGGGAGCAAACAGGAUUAGAAACCCGUGUAGUCC